GCCACCUUAGCUCAGCCGGCAGAGCAGCACUUUCGUAAAGUGAAGGUCCCGAGUUCGAAUCUCGGAGGUGGCU
rnacentral:tRNA from 1 species